AUAGAUAGCGCGCUUUCUAACAAGCGCUAUCUAUGCUUCUGCAUAUCAAUAGAUAGCGCUUAUUGUAAAAAGCGCUAUCUAUUGAGCGCUAUCUAUUCUCCAUUUUGUAGUAGUGGUUCUAUUUGCUUUUUCCAAUUCAGCAUAUAAGUAUAUUUUGAUUUAUGCUUUCUAUUCUUUUCUUUUAAUGACUGAAACCACGCAUCUUGCUACCAAGAUUCAGACAAUAUGGAUGCACAAUUAAUCAGUAACAAUAAUAUCACACUGCAACUUAUUCACAAAAUUUUUUGGCUGAAACAAUGAAACCUGAUUGGCUAUAUUUAGCAGACAAUGGUAAUUUGCAAAUUGAAAGCUUUCAACAACUUUUAUUGUCCAAAUGUGACUUAUAUCAAUGGUCAAAUGAAACAGUUCAUGCAUGAAUCAUAUUUUGACUCUAUGAGUUGCCAUUUCAAGCUAAAUCAUAACCAAUGCAUUAUAAAGAUUUUAGCACAGGAUUCAAAAGUGUUUGGAUCAGUGAUUUUGCAGUCAGGCAAUUGCUGUCAGGCACUGCUUACGGCCCAUUCAAAAUUUCACCACAUAGGUUGCUUAAUUUUACCAAAAAUGAUCCAUACACACAUGACAAUCCAUCAGAUUGAUUCACUCAAAGUUUAACACAAUCUAAUGAUUCCAAACAGCACACGAAAUUGAACAAGACUCUUUAGAAUUUAUGAAGAAAUCCAGAAAAGAAAAACUAUAGCUGGACAGAUUUUAAAAGAAAAAUUACAAGACUCUCAAAGAUAUAUGCAGCACGGUUCAAGCUGUUAUAUAUUGAAUUUGGAAUCUGCAGAGUAAUGUUUUCCACUUUAAUGUCUUAACAUGAAUUGUGGUAUGCAUUUCCUCUUAUUGCAUCAUAUCCAACAAUCAAUAUCACAUAGUUAUGACAGUAAAAACACCAUAACAGAUCACACAACUGCUGGUGCACAUAACAAUUUUACACUAGAUGCAAACCAGAAUUUUCACCUCGGUGACAGUUAAACUAUGUUAACCUAUGGUACUGCUUUGCUGAGGAGCUUCAAGAUGCACUAGGCUUCUUAUUGAAUUACUCCAAUCAACUAUGUAGAUUUAUCCAUUCUUGCUUAAACAUGAAACUUUAACAAAAUUGGAAAGAACAUUGACAUGACUUUAACAAAACAGAAUCAAGAUUUAAAAAAAAUAAAGACUCAAAUCAAUAACAUGAACCGAUUAAAAUGAUAAAACCAAAGCAAAACAAGGCUGGAUCAAUCAAAUGACUCAAAGGAAUCUAUGGAAUGUAAAAAAAAUCAAUGGAAUAGUGAAACAAACAAAGCACACGCAAGGAAGGUUGAUGACAAUACGGAUCAAGAUAAAGAACUUAUCUCGAUAGUGACUCGUUCGCGAUGCUUGAAACGCUGCAACAACCAAGCUCUGAAUACCACUUGAUGACCGGAUGACUCGGUGGAGCUUGCAUCGUGACACCAGAGUGAAUCAGAGAAGCGUUAAUGAAACAGAGUGGAUGAUGAAUAACAGCAGCAGCGGAGGGUGGAAUGUGGAAGUGAAAUAAUGGAUGCAUAUCUGAGAUGGAAUGUAUCUAGUUCAGUCGCCUUCCAUUCUUGGAAGGAACUAGGUGGUGAGUGGAAAGAUCUAAGAAGACUUUGGCAAAACUCUAAAGCUGGAAAGCAAGU
rnacentral:lncRNA from 1 species